GCUUACGGCCAUACCAGCCUGGCUAUGCCCGAUCUCGUCUGAUCCUGGAAGCUAAGCAGGUUUGGGCCUGGUUAGUACUUGGAUGGGAGACCGCCUGGGAAUACCAGGUGCUUUAAGCA
rnacentral:rRNA from 1 species